GGGCCCGUAGCUUAGUUAGGUAGAGCGAUCGGCUCUUAACCGAUAGGUCAAGGGUUCGAAUCCCUUCGGGCCCG
rnacentral:tRNA from 1 species